rnacentral:tRNA from 1 species
GGUGAUGUAACUCAAGUGUUAGAGCACUUGCCUAGCAAGUAUGAGGCCCUGGGUUCAAUUCCCAGUACCACAU